GGCCCGGCUGGCGCCGCCGGGGCGGUCGCCGUGGCAACGCGGACGCCAAUCUCCGGGCAAUGACUUCCAGCUGCCCGCCCGCCCGGCCGCGGGAGCGCGCCUGCGCGCAUCCUCCCUCCUAUACCCCCUACCCUCGCCACCGCGCCCUGGCAACGGCGGUUCCGCGGCUCUCCUCCCGUUUCUAAGCCAGUGGAUGGGGUAAAUCCCCGCUCGAACAUGCUUUUGGCCCCAUGUGACUUCCCAAAGGGACACUGAGUCAACCACGGGAUCAGAAAGGAGAGAGCUUCCUGCUUUUCUGUGCAGCCCUCUGGCAGGAAGCUGCACCUAGUUUCAACACAACUGCAGAGGUGAAUCUUGUACAAAGAAGACACGGAAAACUGGUGUAAAUGAUGCUGGGUAGAGCCCUGUGAAAAACUGAUGCAUUGCAGCUUUCUUUUGGAGUGACCAUUCCUGAAAGCAGAAGGACAGCAGUGAUUGCAGAACAUUCUCUCUCUGUUUUUUUCUCUCCUAAGGUCAGUUGUUGUCUGCUAGGAUAUUUGAUGCUUGUUUGCUUUGAACUAAGAUGAGAUUACUGACUCGCUUCUUGCCCUUGAAGAGCAUGAAGGUAAGAACUUUUGACCUGGAUUAGAUCUUGAAGCAAUGAUCUUGAAGUGGAGGACUGAUAUUGCAAUGCAGGUCUGCUGGUUGUUUUUGCUGCAAUUGGAGUCUAAAACAAUAAAUAAACACUAUUCUCCAGUU